rnacentral:rRNA from 1 species
UACGAAGGGGGCUAGCGUUGCUCGGAAUCACUGGGCGUAAAGCGCACGUAGGCGGAUUGCUAAGUCAGGUGUGAAAUCCUGGAGCUCAACUCCAGAACUGCCCUUGAUACUGGCGGUCUCGAGUCCGGGAGAGGUGAGUGGAACUGCGAGUGUAGAGGUGAAAUUCGUAGAUAUUCGCAAGAACACCAGUGGCGAAGGCGGCUCACUGGCCCGGUACUGACGCUGAGGUGCGAAAGCGUGGGGAGCAAACAGG